rnacentral:rRNA from 1 species
CAGCCGCCACGGGAAUACGAAGGGGGCUAGCGUUGUUCGGAUUUACUGGGCGUAAAGGGCGCGUAGGCGGGCUGAUAAGUCAGGGGUGAAAUCCCAAGGCUCAACCUUGGAACUGCCUUUGAUACUGUUUGUCUUGAGUUCGAGAGAGGUAAGUGGAACUGCGAGUGUAGAGGUGAAAUUCGUAGAUAUUCGCAAGAACACCAGUGGCGAAGGCGGCUUACUGGCUCGAAACUGACGCUGAGGCGCGAAAGCGUGGGGAGCAAACAGGAUUAGAUACCCGUGUAGUCCCUGUCUCUUAUAC